AUGGCGGAAGGUAUUUGAGUCACCAGUAGACGUCUCCGAGAUAAUCGGCAAGAUAUACAUUAACCAGGUGUAACCGUUGCUUGCUUCCAUGUGCUGAAACAGGUUCAUAAUCCAGGUCCAACUUAAGCAAGCCCAACCAACCAACCCCAAAAUUUUAUAAGCUGCCGUAUCAUCUUAGGAAAUAAAGGCUGUCUUUUGAGGCUAAUGGCGGACAAAAUGAUGACUGGACGGCUCUCUGGGAAAAACCUUGUAUGACAUUGACCAGAAGCAUCUGUUCAUAAUUUUAGAAAUUUAUUCGGUCAGUAUAUACUGCUUCCAGUUGCUUUGGUUCUACUUAUUGUUGAGAUACCUAGAGAUACCUUGGUCUGC